UAUAUGUAUUAACUGGUAUAGGCCGCCGCGUAAAAAAUGAAGGUUAUCAUCAUCUUUGCUACCGUCUGCCUGUUGCUUUUGGCGUCGACAGCAUAUGCGAAGAACUGUCAAAGCGGAGCAGUCGGAGAACAGUGCCGACAGGAACACGCAUGCGAGAAGAAAUGCAGCGAUCUUAGCUUCCAGUGCGCAUACGCCAAAUGCGGAGAAUUUUUCGGAAACCCAGCGGCCAUGUUCGCAUGUUCAAGGACCAAAUGUCCGAGGUCCCUUUUCAAUAAUUGCAGACGUGACUGCCGUAACAAGUUCGUACACUAGAGCAGUAUCCACCGAUGACUUUAAAAUGUGCUUUCAAUAAGAUUUGCCCAUGUUCGUUCCCUGUUCACACCGACGUAUCACUGUAACCAAAUCGUACACUGGUUAGAACGGGGGAACCAGAUAUAUACUUGUUGUCGUUAAAAGGCUUCAUGCACCUACGUUGGACACUGACAUUUAUUACUUUUUUUUCUAGCUUGUUUCCUUAGGCCAGGUCAAAAUAAAAAUUUGCUACUCGUCCCCACCGGCUCCGAUUUUGGACGUGACCCGAAAAAAAAUAGUUUAGACUUUGCCACCAUUCAUUACGUAUUCAUCAGACCGCACAAAAGAAGUGAUCCCCGCCUCAAAUUUGAGAAUAAACUCGGAGGAAAACAUUUACAAAAUAGUAGAUGCCUCUUUUUCAAUGUUGAAAAAAGCCAUGGCUCUGAUUUUAGUUUUGUGACCCGCACUGCUGUAAAUCAAAGAAAAUUAUAUGACACGAUAAAAGCUAUUAUUUCCAUCAUGGGCAUGUAGAGAGCUAGUCACCCAUCACAGCCUCAGCUCAGUGUGGGCGGUAAAACGAUAAAGUGAAAAUUUUUUUAAUAAAAUGCAAUUUCCUGUUAA